rnacentral:rRNA from 1 species
AUUGAACGCUGGCGGCAUGCUUUACACAUGCAAGUCGAACGGUAACAGGCCUUCGGGUGCUGACGAGUGGCGAACGGGUGAGUAAUGCAUCGGAACGUACCCAGAGGUGGGGGAUAACGCAGCGAAAGCUGUGCUAAUACCGCAUGUGAUCUGAGGAUGAAAGCGGGGGACCGAGCAGCAAUGUUUGGCCUCGCGCCUUUGGAGCGGCCGAUGUCGGAUUAGCUAGUUGGUGGGGUAAAGGCCUACCAAGGCGACGAUCCGUAGCUGGUCUGAGAGGACGACCAGCCACACUGGGACUGAGACACGGCCCAGACUCCUACGGGAGACAGCAGUGGGGAAUUUUGGACAAUGGGCGCAAGCCUGAUCCAGCAAUGCCGCGUGCGGGAAGAAGGCCUUCGGGUUGUAAACCGCUUUUGGCAGGAACGAAACGGUGUCCGCUAAUACCGGGCGCUAAUGACGGUACCUGCAGAAUAAGCACCGGCUAACUACGUG